GAUGAAGAACGUAGCGAAAUGCGAUAAGUAAUGUGAAUUGCAGAAUUCAGUGAAUCAUCGAAUCUUUGAACGCACAUUCCGCCCGCCAGUAUUCUGGCGGGCAUGCCUGUCUGAGCGUCAUUUCAACCCUCAUGCCCCUAGGGCGUGGUGUUGGGGAUCGGCCAAAGCCCGCGAGGGACGGCCGGCCCCUAAAUCUAGUGGCGGACCCGUCGUGGCCUCCUCUGCGAAGUAGUGAUAUUCCGCAUCGGAGAGCGACGAGCCCCUGCCGUUAAACCCCCAACUUUCCAAGGUUGACCUCAGAUCAGGUAGGAAUACCCGCUGAACUUAAGCAUAUCAAUAAGCGGAGGA
rnacentral:misc_RNA from 1 species